GUUGCUGGUGAGGUUUGGGGCUGGAGCAGGGGGCCCCCCCUCGCCUUCCGGGGCCCCGCCGGCUCCUGGCGGUCCUGCUGCAUCUGGGGUCGACCUGGACGAGAGAGGAAGCGAUGUGAGGAACACAUCACUACGACUACAGCGAAUGAGCACGUUUCAGUCCAGAGGUUUUUGGCCUGUGCUGCUGCUUCACCUUGUUCUGUCUUCUGCGUGUUCUGAGGUGUCGCUUGGUUCAAAUCCCCUGAAAGAUGGGACGCUUUGAUUCAUGGAUCUGGCUGAUGACUGAACGACUCACUAAAUGGAUUUGGAGUCAGUUCAGUACUUGAAGUUACAGUCCUCACUCCUAACACCUUUAGUACAUUUUAGUCUAAUUCUCAAAAAGGAUGUUAAUUUAAUACAAAUGAUACUUAUAUUAAGUAGUCGAUCAAUGAAACAAACUCACACGAGAAUUGUUUAGCGCCGUUUAUUGUGUGCGUUUGUAUUUUGCUCCAGCAACUCGAGGAACCAUCACAUACAGAGCAUUUACUGCACUGUGGAAGCUUCAUCAUGUAGUUCUGCUCUUUGUUCAUUUGUUUCCUUUGUUUUCUCCACUCAGGCGUCAGCAGCAUCUGGAGGAACCCGUCAGACGGUGAGUCUGUUGGUCUUUAACUACACUUUGUGUUUGUUUCUUCUUAGAGCAGUGACAAUUAUAAGAAAAGUGUAAAACAACCAAAUACAGAAUAUGAGCAUCGUCAUGUUUUAUGGUUCUUGUCUCAGUGAAGCUGACUACAGGUUACUGUAUAAGCAGACAAACAUCAGUGUGUGAAACAACAAAGUGAUAAAGUAACAUUCAUACCAAUACUCAGCAUUUCUAGUGUUCACUUUGUAAAGAAACGUUUGAACUGAUCCCAGAACAACAGCUGCAGUGAAUCUCAGAUAAAGUCUAACUUCCCCUCAGUGUAACGUCUAUUGUAGCAGGAAGCGGCAGCGUUAUACUCGGCGUAUGUACAGGCCACGUCUACGCAGAGACAAACAAAGGAACAACUUCACCUCAGCGGCCGAUAUUUGACAAACAACUUGGAGCCAUUCGAAUUCAUAGGAAAACUCAACAAAAUUAAUUAUAAGCAAAAUAUUCUAGUAAAGACUUCAGUCAUUUAAUUGUUCUCUUACAAUGCAGCAACUUUUCAUCAGUUUCUUCCAGUUUGCUCAUCUUUGAUGACUUUGCUUUGAUAGUUUCUAGAUCACACAAUGAAUCUUACAAUUGAUGGAAAAAACUUGGAUUCCAAACCAAACAUUACUUGGUUGAUACCACAUAUCGUAACAUGUGAGCAGCAUAUUCUGGCAAAGCAUGAGGAAAACAAACCCAUCUUCUCUCCUAAAUUUCCUAGAUUUGAUGAGAGCCCCAAAACCUCCCAACUGAGACAAUAUUAGAGCUUUUUUCGAAGGUUUUCACAAAUGUAACUCAAGUCUUCGGAUUGAAUUUAAUUACACUAACCAAUUUUUUAGUCCCUCAGUAGGUGAUUAAAAUAACCAUAAUUUGAGUAAAUGUGGCCUUUUUCUAGUUAAAAAAUAACAUAAAACAGCAGACAUAUUUAUAUUAAUCAGCUGUGGUUUCAUUUCUCUUCAUUGUCUCUUCUUUAAAAGUGACUAAUUAUCAGUCACCAAUAAAUAUAAUAGUGGAAAAUGUUAAUGAGGGAUAAACAGAAACCGUUAACUGAAUGCCGCCUGUGUGGCUGUGUUAAAAUGCGGAGACUUAGUUAUAUAACAAAAUAAAAAAAAAUAAAAAAACAGACUCGUUCAGUGCAGUUACAGCUGGUCACCAUAGGGGGCAGCUGUGAGCUUAAUGUAUUAACCAUAGAUCAUAGAGUAUUUUAGGAUUAGGACCGUCAAACCCCAAAGGAGAGAUUCACUGUGGCAUUACUCCAGAGAACCAGCUAUGUGUCUGUGUGUGUUCAGGGCUUCAUCCAGAUCAGAGGACACACUGAGGCCUGGAACCGGAUGCGGCUUCUCCUCAGGGUUGGAGUCGUCUACAGCCACCGUGAUCUGAGAGGUGGACUUCCUGCUAAUGGAGAAAAACCGUUAUUCAUAUAUGUCAUUCAAAUAUGUCCUGAAAUGCUACUUCAGACACAUUUGUGUUAGUCAAAGUCACACUAUCCCUCCACUUUAGGACGUUCACAUUCCAGCUAUUGAAUCUCUGUUUUACAACACAAGUGAGGUAAGUAUGUGUUUGCAUAAAUAAGGCACCCAUCCCUCCUUUAACUCUCUUUCCUUUACCUAUCUCCGCUCUGUGUGAUGAGUCUCCUGCAGGUCUCCAUCUGAACAUCCAGUCCUCUCUUCAUGGAACACAUCUCCAUGUACUCGUGCAGGUGACGAUUCAUAUCGCUUUUUGCUGUGGCCAGUUCGAGCUGACGGUGCAAUAAAGUUAUUCAUUUAACAACAGCUCAUAGUAAAACACAACGGCUAUGACACUGUAUCUCUGUGUAUGACAGACUCACCUCUAUCUGGUCAAUUGUGUCCUGAUAUUCCUUCUCUCUGGAUUUAAACAGAGACUCUGUGUCUUUAAUCACUUUUUCUAGGGACUCCUCUUGCAACUGGAAACAAGGAAAAACAAAGAAAAUGCUCAUCAUGUCACAGCUUAUCAUGAACAACUACGAUAUGGGAAAUGAAGGUGAUGUACUGGGGAAACAAUGGAGAACAUAUACAUAACUAGGUCCAGUAGCAGCAAAUUUUAACCUGAGAAGAUUCUCAUUUCACAUAUAUCAACAAUGAUUGCUGGGUUUUUUAUCUGUGCGUCUGUUAUUCACUUAAAUACAAGGGUCAUAUUGCAAUUUAAUGACACAGCAGUUGAUUCUACCUCUAUUAGUACUAUAUACUAUAUAUAAUGUUUGUAUUUUACUUUAUAUUUUCCAGUUCCACCUGAGGUAUCUUUGGGUCAUUGGGGUGAUCACAUAGGCCACGUUGUUUGAAUUUUCAACAUGGGGUGAAAUAAAAUCAAAUAAUGUCUAGUUUGUUUUACAGUUCAGACUAAUGUAACAUGAAAACUGUUUUACAACAGUUUUUUGACAGGAGGCUUACACUUGUCAUAUCUUGUUUCUGGCAAGGGAUAGCCUGUGUUAAGAAAUUAAAGUCAUUUUGUACUUGUGACUAACUUUCUAUUGUCU